GACGAACGCUGGCGGCGUGCUUAACACAUGCAAGUCGAACGGAAAGGCCCUGCUUUUGUGGGGUGCUCGAGUGGCGAACGGGUGAGUAACACGUGAGUAACCUGCCCUUGACUUUGGGAUAACUUCAGGAAACUGGGGCUAAUACCGGAUAGGAGCUCCUGCUGCAUGGUGGGGGUUGGAAAGUUUCGGCGGUUGGGGAUGGACUCGCGGCUUAUCAGCUUGUUGGUGGGGUAGUGGCUUACCAAGGCUUUGACGGGUAGCCGGCCUGAGAGGGUGACCGGCCACAUUGGGACUGAGAUACGGCCCAGACUCCUACGGGAGGCAGCAGUGGGGAAUAUUGCACAAUGGGCGGAAGCCUGAUGCAGCAACGCCGCGGGCGGGAUGACAGCCUUCGGGUUGUAAACCGCUUUCGCCUGUGACGAAGCGUGAGUGACGGUAAUGGGUAAAGAAGCACCGGCUAACUACGUG
rnacentral:rRNA from 1 species